rnacentral:rRNA from 1 species
ACCCGCACAAUCAGUGGAGCAUGUGGUUAAUUCGUUGGUACACGAAGAACCUCACCAGGGUUUGACAUGCUAGAAAAUCUUUCGAAAGUUUAGAUGUGCCUUAGGGAAUCUAGACACAGUUGGUGCAUGGCUGUCGUCAGCUCGUGUUGUGAAAUGUUGGGUUAAGUCCCGCAACGAGCGCAACCCUUAUCCUUUGUUGCCAGCGGUCCGGCCGGGAACUCAAAGGAGACUGCCAGUGAUAAACUGGAGGAAGGUGGGGAUGACGUCAAGUCAUCAUGGCCCUUACGACCAGGGCUACACACGUGCUACAAUGGCGCAUACAAAGAGAAGCGACCUCGCGAGAGCAAGCGGACCUCAUAAAGUGCGUCGUAGUCCGGAUUGGAGUCUGCAACUCGACUCCAUGAAGUCGGAAUCGCUAGUAAUCGUGGAUCAGAAUGCCACGGUGAAUACGUUCCCGGGCCUU